AAAAUUUUGUCUUCGAAUAUUUUCACAUAAAUUUAAAAUGGGAAAAUUCAGAAUUAUUUUACAAAAUUACCAGGUCCCUUAUAUUAUAUUUAAAUGCAAUGAUAACAUCCUAAGUGAAUCAACUAAAGUGAUAUUAUGUCG